GCUGCAUAUUUCAGUGGGUGCUCUCGUUUUCCAUGUGAAUGGCGCCCUCUAGAGUUGCACAGUGCACAACCUAUACAGCCAUUGGUGGCAACUCUCAUGGUGGGGCCCAGCCCACUGAGGCCCUUUCCUCCUGGGCCACCAGGUUUCCCUGCAGUAUGAGAAAAGUGGAAGCUUCUACCACACGUGUGGCGGUAGCCUCAUCGCCCCCGAUUGGGUUGUGACUGCCGGCCACUGCAUCUCGGUGACUCUGGAGGACCCCUCAACUGCCCCACAGAGGAUGGUGGCUGGCAGGUCCACGGUGUGACCAGCUUUGUUUCUGCCUUUGGCUGCAACUUCAUCUGGAAGCCCACGGUGUUCACUCGAGUCUCCGCCUUCAUCGACUGGAUUGAGGAGUUGGGCAAACUGCGGCUCAGAAAGAUAAAGAACUUCUCCGGAGCGAAAAAGCUGCUAAGAAUGUAUCCAAAACUCCGCACGAAGUCUGGAACGUUUUUUCUUAGAGUUCCAGAAUUGAGACUGAAGUGUACCCAGAGACACAAAGAAAUACAGAAGUCCAGAAUGAUCAAAUGAGAUCACUACCCAAUGAAAUGAUGGGCCGAGGAGCCAGAAGUUGUCCUACUACCUGCUUUCCAGGUCCAGAUUCCACGAGAGCCUUCUGGGCUCCCACCAGAGACCCUCAGUGAAGACUCUGUUGAAGACUUUAAGACCAUGCUAGAAAGCCUCCCGGCAGAGGUUCAGGAAGUUCUGCUAUGAGGAUGCAGCUGGCCCCAGGGAUGUCCUCAGGCAUCUCUAGGACCUUGCUGGACGGUGGUGGC
ensembl:lncRNA novel transcript